UCGUGCUUUUAAAGUUAUUUUUUAUGAUGGAACGUCUAAUUAGGCGGCUAAUAUUAUUAGAUAUGACCUACGUUGUUAGAAUUAUUUAGAAACUAAAUUUUUAUAAUUUUUGGAUAUCGAUUGCCUGAUGAACGAGUAGUUUCAAACGAAUUGCUGAAAAUAAAAAUUUUAUAAAUAAUAAUAAUAAUAAUAAUAAUAAAUUUAAAUUUUAAAUUGAAGUAUUGUUCCUUGAUGUUAAAUAAAAUUUUCUAUUAAAGUUUCAUAUAAUUUAGAUUCUUCUAUAUCGUUGAAUUUAAAAACGUGCCACAUCGACUGUUAAAAUAGUCAUUUUUUAGGCUCUUUAAUCAUUUGAAAAUAAUGUCGAAAAUAUACAAAAUUUAAUUUCUAAAUAAUUCUAAUAGCGUAAAUUAUAUCUAAUAGAACUGAUCGUCAAAUCAAAUAUUUUAUUAUUAAAAAUAAUUUAUAAAUACGAAGACUUCGAUGCUUUGAAAGCACAGGAGACAUUCUCUCUC
rnacentral:lncRNA from 1 species